rnacentral:lncRNA from 1 species
UUUUGAUUCAGUUUGAUGACUUUAGUCGGUAUAGAAUUCAUAGAACCAAUCAGCUUGGUUUUAACUGUCCACUUAAUUCCUUAAAGUGAAACACCAUUUGAGAAGAUUUUUUUCAUUUUUUGAUGUUUUCUCUCAAAAUGAUGCACCACUGGAUGGAGAUAGUUUUACUGGAGUUAAAAUACAUCUACGUGAUGAGUGAACAGAAAAGAAACAACGAAGUUACAUUCUUAUUGGUGAGCAUUGAGAUGUUAGAUAAAUUGAGACAACAGAUGUGAAUACCGGUUAGGAAUUGCCUCCAAAUUGAAGGUACAUGCGUUUAUGUUCACAUCUACCGCUAUUCACCUAAAGCAUAUGGAAGUUGGAAUCAAAACCGAUUCAAUGGUGUCAUGGACCAUGGGGCAAAUUUUUUUUUAAUUUCCAAACUAUUUUUUUUUUUAAAGUCUGAUAGAUAUAUGUUUUUUUUUUAAAUACCAGAAGUAGUUUUUAAAAUAAAUCUAUAGAAAUAAAAAAAUAUUUUCAUAUAAUAAAUUUAGACCCUUUUUCUUAUUUUUAAUAUAAAAAUACAUGUAUUUUAUGUAAGCC